rnacentral:rRNA from 1 species
UGAAUACGAGAUGCUACGGCGUCGAAGCAGUCUAUGUCAUACUUCCAAGAAAAGCUUGCACUGUCAUAGACAAAUAAUGCCUGUACCAUAACCGACACAGGUGGGUAGGUAGAGUAUACUAAGGGGCGCGAGAUAACUCUCUCUAAGGAACUCGGCAAAAUGACUCCGUAACUUCGGGAGAAGGAGUGCCUUAUUUUAUAAGGUUGCAAUAACAAGAUCCAAGCAACUGUUUACCAAAAACACAGGUCUCCGCUAAGUCGUAAGACGAUGUAUGGGGGCUGACGCCUGCCCAGUGCCAGAAGGUUAAAGAAGUUGGUUAGCAUCCGCGAAGCUGAUAACUGAAGCCCUGGUGAACGGCGGCCGUAACUAUAACGGUCCUAAGGUAGCGAAAUUCCUUGUCGGGUAAGUUCCGACCCGCACGAAAGGCGUAAUGAUUUGGAUACUGUCUCAGAGAGGGGCUCGGUGAAAUAGACUUGUCUGUGAAGAUGCGGACUACCUGCACCAGGACAGAAAGACCCUAUGAAGCUUUACUGUAACUUGAAAUUGAAAUUGGACUUUACUUGCGCAGUAUAGGUGGGAGGCGUUGAGAAUAUUCUUGCGGGAAUGUUGGAGCCAUCAGUGAGAUACCACUCUUGUAAUGUUAGAUUUCUAACUUUGUAUCAUUAUCUGGUCAAAGGACAGUUUCAGGCGGGCAGUUUGACUGGGGCGGUCGCCUCCCAAACGGUAACGGAGGCGCACAAAGGUUUCCUCUGAACGGGUAGAAAUCGUAUCUAGAGUGUAAAGGCAUAAGGAAGCUUGACUGUGAGACCUACAAGUCGAGCAGGGACGAAAGUCGGUCUUAGUGAUCUGACGGUGAGUGGAAAGGCCGUCACUCAACGGAUAAAAGUUACUCUAGGAUAACAGGCUGAUCUCCCCCAAGAGUUCACAUCGACGGGGAGGUUUGGCACCUCGAUGUCGGCUCAUCGCAUCCUGGGGCGGUAGUACGUCCCAAGGGUUGGGCUGUUCGCCCAUGAAAGCGGUACGCGAGCUGGGUUCAGAACGUCGUGAGACAGUUCGGUCCAUAUCCGGUGUAGGCGUUAGAAUAUUGAGAGGAGCCUUCUUUAGUACGAGAGGACCGAGAAGGACAUACCUCUGGUGUACCAGUUAUCGUGCCAACGGUAAACGCUGGGUAGCUAUGUAUGGAGUGGAUAACCGCUGAAAGCAUCUAAGUGGGAAGCCCACCUCAAGA